GGCAGAGUAGCUCAAGUGGUAGAGCGCUUGCCUAGCAAGCAUGAAGCCCUGAGUUCGAAUCCCAGUACUGCCA